AACUCCGGCUCGAACUGUCACCGUAUGGUGCGCGUUCCGAAAGGAUAGAGCCGGAGUUUUUU
ncrna:unclassified sequences DTF3800-IX RNA